rnacentral:rRNA from 1 species
AUUGAACGCUGGCGGCAGGCCUAACACAUGCAAGUCGAACGAGUGGCGGACGGGUGAGUAAUGUCUGGGAAACUGCCUGAUGGAGGGGGAUAACUACUGGAAACGGUAGCUAAUACCCCAUACCAUCGGAUGUGCCCAGAUGGGAUUAGCUAGUAGGUGGGGUAAAGGCUCACCUAGGCGACGAUCCCUAGCUGGUCUGAGAGGAUGACCAGCCAUAUUGGAAAUGAACGACGGUCCAGAAUCAUACUGGAGGCAGCAGGGGGGAAUAGUGCACAAUUGGCGCAAGCCUGAUGCAGCCAUGCCGCGUGUAUGAAGAAGGCCUUCGGGUUGUAAGAUACUUUCAGUGGGGAGGCGUUACCCGCAGAAGAAGCACAGGAUAACUACGUGCCAGCAGCCGCGGGAACUG